CGACCGGGAAAGUGUGUUUACGUUCAAAGAGAGAGAAAAUAAAAACAUGGGAUCCCCUCGUGCAAGAGCCUCAGUCUGAUGGUCCUCUGAUCGGCCACUUACCAAAGGCGAUAAUGUUUUUCAGUCAGGGGCUGGAAUUACAUCAUUCAGCUUUUUCCCGGGUUCUGAGAGCCUAUGGGAGCCGUAGGAGGUGUCACGUUACAGCAAAGAUCCUCAGUUUUCAAUAAACAGAGCCAAGAAGCUCAAGGAAUGGUCAGAGAGGGCACUUCCUGUACAGACUCUUCUCAGGUUUUUGCCUGCCAUAUGAGUUCUGUUAUACUCACAGACACCAUUCAAACAGUUUUAGAAACUUUAGGGUGUUUUCUAUCCAAAGCCAAUAAUUAUAUGCAUAUUCUAGUUUCUGGGCAGUAGUAAUAACCAGAUUAAAUCGGGUACGUUUUUUAUCCGGCCGUGUAAAUACUGCCCCCUAGCCCUAACAGGUUAACCCUAGCCUUGCCCCGAACUGCCACUCUUAUGGGUCAGAAUAUAAUGAUGUAAUUACGUGUUGGAGGUCUCAGAUGGGAAGCUCCGCAUGGGUCGUUUAGGCUUCUCAGUGACGCACUUCUCCGACGCAACUCUCUGGUUGUCCUCACGAUGUCAGUGUCCUUUGGGCUUAGUGGUCUGAUUCCUCACCCUUUCUCUGAAAGGGGCCUUCUGAGGAUAGACAGCUCUGUAGCUCAGAGCUCACAGCGUAGGAAUUAAACAGUGUAGAUACCACAAUUCAGUGGAGAGUGGAGGCUAGGUGGUUCUGCUUGAAUUCACCCGCUUAGACACAGCUACUCAUCCAUAGCUUGGGUAGAAAAAUAUUUCUUUGUCUUCAACCUUGUGUGGCGUUGUGGAGUUCGUUGACCUUUUGGCUGCAGCCUGGGGUCACUUGGUCUCCUCUGUUCAUUCUUCACUCCCCUGUCUUAUACCUUCGGGUCAGAAGUGGGCAUAACCGCCUUUAGGGCAAUUCUCUGGGCGUACCAAGUUAUUAAGAGGCAAGGCCUAGAUUUUACUCAAAUUCAAUUUUAGACAACUAACUUCACAUUUCAUCUUUACCAAAACAUUCUCUUUGAUUUGGACAUUUUCCACACAAUGUACAAUGUAUAAACAUCAGGCAUAUACUGGGAAAACUCUUAAAGGUACAAUGUUUUCAUAAUAACGUCAUCUGUUAACCUUUAAUUACAAAACAAAAAUUACAUACAUUUUCAUAUUCCAUCUAUCGUCAUGACCACCAUUGUGGCUGACGGAAACCAUUGUUCCAAAGUCCCUUUAUUGCAUGUUUAAUGUUCUGAGGCUGGUUCUCCAUAGUGAGAGGACAAAGAAAUGUUGUCUGUGGCCUAAGAUUUAUCAUGGGCGUGAGGGGUCAUAAAACCCCCACAUCUUCAGACCCCUAGAUCUCUCCUCCUCUGUUGGGGGUUUGGGAGAUAAUCUGUAGGGUUGUGGUCUCCUGUAACCUGACCUGAUCAGGACAGUCAUGACAUUGUUUAACUGAAAUGGAUGAGUUUGGUCUACAGUAUAUAUGUUGCGUUUACACUGGCAACAUAAUUCUGAUCUUUUAUUCACUAAUUGGUAUUUUGACCAAUCAGUUCUGCUCUGAAAAGAAUCUGAUGUGACCAUUUUAGUGGAAAAAAGAUCAGAAUUUGUCUGUCUAAACGCAGCAUAGUGGUUCAUUGGAUGAAAAUAAUUAAUACACACUAAAGGUCUUCAUGGGUCCAACCGAAUACCCGGCCAAGACCCGAUCCGGGACCGAGUGUCCUGUUUGAUUGGUAUCGGCUCUAUGUAAUUAACUGAUAGACCCGAAUGGACCCAACCACGGCUCUACAUAGCCUAUAGCAUAUUUAUUUUAUGCUAAUAAAGGGAAUGUAUUGACUUUUCAAAGGCCUAGCCAACAUAUAAAGACCUAUUUGCUAACUAGAAGAGCAACUUGGCUGAUAAACAUCACUUUUCUUUUGUCUUUGGGUCCAUUCGGGUCCAGGUCCCCCUUUAAAAUAAAUAUCAGGUUCAGGUAUGAUUGGUGACCUCGGGUCCAGGUCUAACUUUCAGGUCCAGGUAUGAUUGGUGACCUCGGGUCCAGGUAUGAUUGGUGACCUCGGGUCCAGGUCUAACUUUCAGGUCCAGGUAUGAUUGGUGACCUCGGGUCCAGGUCUAACUUUCAGGUCCAGGUAUGAUUGGUGACCUCAGGUCCAGGUCUAACUUUCAGGGCCAAGAAGACCUCUAAACCUCAUUGGAGACAUUAACCACGUUUCCAUCCACAGUUUUUAUGCAAGUAAAGUCAUACGGUAUAAAAAAUUAAAUAAUGACAGUUGUGAUGGAAACAGGUCGUUUCAGGUACAAUUUUAUAAAAUAAUUAUAAGUACUGGUGGGAUCUUCUUGUGUCUGUAAAAUGUAUUAUGAAAACACCAUUAUAAGCAAAUAUUGAUAUAACCAUCAUAUCGAAGUCAAUUUUGGAGUCACGCGAUGACAUGGUGUGUGGUCCUCCCACUACGACUCAGGAAACCAUGCAGUUUAUUAGACUACAGAUGAAACAUGUUGUGUGGUCCUCCCACUACGACUCAGGAAACCAUGCAGUUUAUUAGACUACAGAUGAAACAUGUUGUGUGGUCCUCCCACUACGACUCAGGAAACCAUGCAGUUUAUUAGACUACAGAUGAAACAUGUUGUGUGGUCCUCCCACUACGACUCCAGAAACCAUGCAGUUUAUUAGACUACAGAUGAAACAUGUUGUGUGGUCCUCCCACUACGACUCAGGAAACCAUGCAGUUUAUUAGACUACAGAUGAAACAUGUUGUGUGGUCCUCCCACUACGACUCAGGAAACCAUGCAGUUUAUUAGACUACAGAUGAAACAUGUUGUGUGGUCCUCCCACUACGACUCAGGAAACCAUGCAGUUUAUUAGACUACAGAUGAAACAUGUUGUGUGGUCCUCCCACUACGACUCCAGAAACCAUGCAGUUUAUUAGACUACAGAUGAAACAUGUUGUGUGGUCCUCCCACUACGACUCAGGAAACCAUGCAGUUUAUUAGACUACAGAUGAAACAUGUUGUGUGGUCCUCCCACUACGACUCAGGAAACCAUGCGGUUUAUUAGACUACAGAUGAAACAUGUUGUGUGGUCCUCCCACUACGACUCAGGAAACCAUGCGGUUUAUUAGGCUACAGAUUAAAUCAAUUAUGAUCAGGUCUGUAACCAGAGUUUGAGGUUUAAAAAGUGACUCAUUAUGCA
rnacentral:lncRNA from 1 species